AACGAACGCUGGCGGCAUGCCUAACACAUGCAAGUCGAACGAGACCUUCGGGUCUCUUGGCGCACGUGUGAGUAACGCGUGGGAACCUGCCCUUAGGUUCGGAAUAACUCCCCGAAAGGGGUGCUAAUCCCGGAUAAUGUCUUCGGACCAAUGAUUUAUCGCCUUUGGAUGGGCCCGAGUUGGAUUAGCUAGUUGGUAGGGUAAAAGCCGACCAAGGCGACGAUCCAUAGCUGGUCUGAGAGGAUGAUCAGCCACACUGGGACUGAGACACGGCCCAGACUCCUACGGGAGGCAGCAGUGGGGAAUAUUGGACAAGGGACGAAAGCCUGAUCCAGCAAUGCCGCGUGAGUGAUGAAGGCCUUAGGGUUGUAAAGCUCUUUUACCCGGGAUGAUAAUGACAGUACCGGGAGAAUAAGCUCCGGCUAACUCCGUG
rnacentral:rRNA from 1 species